UACGUAGGGGGCAAGCGUUGUCCGGAUUUAUUGGGCGUAAAGAGCUCGUAGGCGGUCUGUCGCGUCGGCUGUGAAAACUCGGGGCUCAACCCCGAGCCUGCAGUCGAUACGGGCAGACUAGAGUCCGGCAGGGGAGACUGGAAUUCCUGGUGUAGCGGUGAAAUGCGCAGAUAUCAGGAGGAGUACCGGUGGCGAAAGCGACUCUCUGGACGGCAACUGACGCUGAGGCACGAAAGCGUGGGGAGCAAACAGG
rnacentral:rRNA from 1 species